rnacentral:rRNA from 1 species
CCUACGGGAGGCUGCAGUGGGGAAUAUUGCACAAUGGGGGAAACCCUGAUGCAGCGACGCCGCGUGAGUGAAGAAGUAAUUCGUUACGUAAAGCUCUAUCAGCAGGGAAGAAAAUGACGGUACCUGAGUCAGAAGCCGUGGCGAACUACGUGCCAGCAGCCGCGGCAAUACGUAGGGGGCCAGCGUUAUCCGGAUUUACUGGGUGUUAAGGGAGCGUAGACGGUGCGCCAAGUCUGGAGUGAAAUGCCGCAGUUGAACCGCGGAACUGCUUUGGAAACUGGCGAACUAGAGUGCGGGAGGGGUAAGCGGAAUUCCUAGUGUAGCGGUGAAAUGCGUAGAUAUUAGGAGGAACACCGGUGGCGAAGGCAGCUUACUGGACCGUAACUGACGUUGAGGCUCGAAAGCGUGGGGAGCAAACAGGAUUAGAUACCCCUGUAGUC